AGGACGAACGCUGGCGGCGUGCUUAAUACAUGCAAGUCGAACGAGGUCCAUUCGGUGGCAACACCGGAGAAGACCGAGUGGCGAACGGGUGAGUAACACGUGAGGAACCUGCCCCGAAGACCGGGAUAACAGCGGGAAACCACUGCUAAUACCGGAUACCCCCACCGGACCGCAUGAUCUGGUGAGGAAAGGAUUCUGCUUCGGGAGGGCCUCGCGGCCUAUCAGCUUGUUGGUGGGUAACGGCCUACCAAGGCGUCGACGGGUAGCUGGUCUGAGAGGACGAUCAGCCACACUGGGACUGAGACACGGCCCAGACUCCUACGGGAGGCAGCAGUAGGGAAUCUUGCGCAAUGGGCGAAAGCCUGACGCAGCAACGCCGCGUGAGGAUGGAGGCCUUCGGGUUGUAAACCUCUUUCAGCAGGGACGAUUGUGACGGUACCUGCAGAAGAAGCCCCGGCAACUACGUGCCAGCAGCCGC
rnacentral:rRNA from 1 species